rnacentral:rRNA from 1 species
AUUGAACGCUGGCGGCAUGCUUUACACAUGCAAGUCGAACGGCAGCGCGGGCUUCGGCCUGGCGGCGAGUGGCGAACGGGUGAGUAAUAUAUCGGAACGUACCCAAGAGUGGGGGAUAACGUAGCGAAAGUUACGCUAAUACCGCAUACGAUCUAAGGAUGAAAGCAGGGGAUCUUCGGACCUUGUGCUCCUGGAGCGGCCGAUAUCUGAUUAGCUAGUUGGUGAGGUAAAGGCUCACCAAGGCAACGAUCAGUAGCUGGUCUGAGAGGACGACCAGCCACACUGGAACUGAGACACGGUCCAGACUCCUACGGGAGGCAGCAGUGGGGAAUUUUGGACAAAGGGGGCAACCCUGAUCCAGCAAUGCCGCGUGAGUGAAGAAGGCCUUCGGGUUGUAAAGCUCUUUUGUCAGGGAAGAAAAGGUCGUGGCUAAUAUCCACGACUGCUGACGGUACCUGAAGAAUAAGCACCGGCUAACUACGUGCCAGCCGCCGCCGUAAUAC